GAGUUUGAUCGUGGCUCAGAUUGAACGCUGGCGGCAUGCCUUACACAUGCAAGUCGAACGGCAGCAUGAUCUAGCUUGCUAGAUUGAUGGCGAGUGGCGAACGGGUGAGUAAUACAUCGGAACGUGCCCUGUAGUGGGGAUAACUAGUCGAAAGAUUAGCUAAUACCGCAUACGACCUGAGGGUGAAAGUGGGGGACCGCAAGGCCUCAUGCUAUAGGAGCGGCCGAUGUCUGAUUAGCUAGUUGGUGGGGUAAAGGCCCACCAAGGCGACGAUCAGUAGCUGGUCUGAGAGGACGAUCAGCCACACUGGGACUGAGACACGGCCCAGACUCCUACGGGAGGCAGCAGUGGGAAUUUUGGACAAUGGGCGAAAGCCUGACCCAGCAAUGCCGCGUGUGUGAAGAAGGCCUCGGUUGU
rnacentral:rRNA from 1 species